GCCUCAAGAAUGCAGCAAAGCCAGCGUGAGAUCCUUUCAUUCCCCUUUGUUUAAUAUCUGUUAUUAUGACAUUAAGUGUGGUUUUUUGUUGUGGUGGAGAGUUAAACGUCCCCCUCGGUCCCGCCGCCGUAGCCACGGGUUUGCAACGGUUUUGUGUACAUUAAAGUGGUCAUUUUCGGAUUAGCUCUUUCUUUCCCUUUGAUGCAUAUGAAACGCUUCGCCAGUUACUCGGAGAAUGCAUUUUGCCUCUUUUGUUGCCCUCCUCGCAACCAAUGGCAGCGAGAGGACGAAAGCCCCCCGGCUCUCUCUUUAAAUCAUAAAGGAAUUUCCAAAUGGUUUAAAGCUUUACUCGCCACUUCUGUCUGGAGUUUCCUGACCAAAAAUAGACCGCCGUUGUUUUCAAGGAGCGGGCAGGGCGGCAUCGAGCUGUUACCGCCCGGGAGCGGGACCGGGGCAGCCGCACUGCCGCUUCUCCCUGUGCUUCCCCUGCUGCGCGGGGCCGCUAACACGUGUGCCUCGUCAGCGAGAGACGCUCUAAUUUAACAGCCAACAGCCUGCAGCCAAACGGCGCUACGGAAACCCGAUGUGAGGAUCAUUCGGAGGCUCCGAAGCGCUGAGUCAGCGGCGGAGCCCCAUCUCCGAGGCUCGGAUGCGUUUGUAACUCCCGCUGCUGCGUUUCGCUUACUGUUAUACCGAUUGGAUCGUGUAAUUAUUGUUUGUUUUCCAAAAAUGUAAUUACUUUCUUUCUUUUUUUUUUUUUCCCCUCUUUGUUUCCUUCGCAGCUUUCAGACUGCCUGAAUAAAGCGGCGUUUGGAGGGAGGGUGGAGGGGAGAAGGGAGUAAAAAAAACACCUAACGGGAGGGAAGGAGGUCUUCAGGCUUUAGCCAAAGAUGUUCUCUCUCGGGCACCUCUUGCUCCGAUGGUUUGAUACCGGCACGUGUGGAACAAAGCCUCGAGAGUAAGACCUAACUGGGGGCUACUGGGCAGUCCCUGUUUUGGGGGAUGCUUUUCCUCUCCCCGUAGAUCCGAAAACGAAUUAAUAGUAAUAAUAAUAAUAAUUCCAAUGGUUACGCCGCUGACGGGUUAAGGGAAGGCUGCCCCCGGGACCCCCACGAAGCCGCACCGCCCGCGGCCCCCAGGCGCGACGCGGCGGAGACGGGCUGAGCCUCCCCCGACCCCCGGGGGCUGCGUCUCCGCACCCACCAAGGCUGCCAGGGAGUUGGAGGGGGAGGGGGGAAGGGAUGGUGCCGUCCUCCCCUCGGAGAGCCCCAUUUACCUCUCGGCUAAUGGAGGGUCCUGAAAGGGUGAAGCGCAGCUCCCCCCAGCCCCUCCUUCUCGUAAAUUACACCUGCUUGAGGCAGAGAGGGUAAAGCACAGCUCUCACCGGCCCGGCAGCAGCGAAGGGGGGAUUCCACCCCCUGGGGGGGGGGUGGUCCCGGCCCGGCCCGGCCUCAGCCCCGGUGCGUGGCAAACAAUGCUCGGCAGCCAGCGCGUGUGCGAGAGGAGUAAUUGUGCUCCGGCGCUUAAAUAAAUC
ensembl:lncRNA